rnacentral:rRNA from 1 species
GACGAACGCUGGCGGCGUGCUUAACACAUGCAAGUCGAACGAUGAAGCCUUUUGGGGUGGAUUAGUGGCGAACGGGUGAGUAACACGUGGGCAAUCUGCCCUGUACUUUGGGAUAAGCCUUGGAAACGGGGUCUAAUACCGGAUAUGACUGGCCUUCGCAUGGGGUUGGGUUGAAGUUCUGGCGGUACAGGAUGAGCCCGGCCGGCCGUAUCAGCUUGUUGGUGGGGUAAGUGCCUACCAAGGCGACGACGGGUAGCCGGCCUGAGAGGGCGACCGGCCACACUGGGAC